rnacentral:lncRNA from 1 species
UCCCUCCAAAACUUGAUACGGGUGUCUACCCUGAAAAACACAUCGUGUCUAUUUCAUAAAAAUAUAACCUGCCCGUACAAUGAACGCCUCAUAGCUAUAUAUAAUAGCCGGACACUAAUUGGCCUAUUGCCCUCUCGCACACACGUUAUAACAAGUCUAAAAAAAACAAAUAUAUCCCUAUACGACUUACACGGCCAAACAAUAAAAUAAAAGGAAACUUUAACCUAAUUUAGACUCUACCAUCGGGAUGAUUAUGGACUCUAAUUGGAUUGGUGCGCCAUGCAUCUUCUAGUGCAUCUCGAUCUUCAGGUGGACCCCAACCGACUUCUUUCAAGGAAAAUAAACUCCAUGCAUCACACGUCCUGCUCGCUUCUGCCUGGAACUUCUCUUUUCGUGGGAAGAAUAGAAAUAGGAAAUCUACAACCUUCUCCUUAAUGCCUUGAUCAUCUAUUAAUGAACAUGAACCUUCGUGUGUAUCAUGCAAACCAAGCCCUCCAAAAUAUUUGUACGUGCAUGCAUUUUUGCCUGGAAACACGUAGAAUUUCUUGUCCUCUCUCAGCCCUUCUAGCUGGAAUCAUGUAGUGUGCUUCACAGGAAUAACGAGUAAUUCUUGUUCAUCGUUGUAACCUAUCAUCAGGUAUUCCGAUGUAUAUGUAGCGUAUUUUUGGACAACACCGGCUUCAGGCAAAACAACAAUGACCUCGGUAUUUAUAUCACAAGGGGUCAUAUCAUCGUCUCCCCCUUGAAUCGAAACCGUCCCCGGUUUCAAGUCAAUCUCUUUUCCAAUAUUUUGAUCUGCAGAUUGAUCGGCGGCGGUAAAAAUUUCAGCAACUUCGGCCUUCUUCUUAUCUUCUUCUUCAUGCUCUUUUAUCUUCUCAAGAUGUUCUUUUCUCCAAGGAAGAAAACGCUCCUCACACAUUGGCACGAGGUUGUACUUCUUACCUCUCUUGACGGUAUAUGUGUGUGUUUUGCAAUCAUACGCCACAUCAUGCUCUUUGUACCAUGGCUCGCCCAAUAACAAAUGACACGAAAUCAUCGGUGCCGGAAUCACGUCGCAGAAAAUCUCGCAAAAAUAAUUUCCCAACAAAAACGGUACCUUGGUUUGGUGUGUGACAGUGAUUACUUCACAACCCCAACGGAACAAGUAUGGUUGUGCUCGGGGUGUCAUCGUGAGAUCUAGCUUCUCCACCAUCUCGAUGCUUGCAGCGUUGAUCAAACUCAUGUGGUCAAUUGUCAUGGCACAUGAUUUCUCCUGUACCACAACACGAGUAUGAAAAAGACCAUCCCAUCGACCUUCCUCCUCCAGUUGAAAUCCAUAGCUUAGCUUCCAUGAUAAUCCAGUCAUCUCCUCCGCAGUGUCGUGAACAACCUUAGCUCUGAAUACCACCUGAUAAAGACCGAACCUCGAUGACGAGAUCUGAUCUGUUGUUGCGGCCCGACCUUUCACGACACUCCACCUUCAGCACUAGUAGCCUCUCGCCCGCGCACGCGAUGUACACGAAGUAGAGGGUUUGAACCUUGCGGCCCAGCACGAGAAAACCAAUCUUGACGAAGGUACUCACGCGCAAAACAAUUUCCACGAAAAGAAAUCGCAACACAGAGGUUUUCUAAAGGUCCCUCCAAAACUUGAUACGGGUGUCUACCCUGAAAAACACAUCGUGUCUAUUUCAUAAAAAUAUAACCUGCCCGUACAAUGAACGCCCCAUAGCUAUAUAUAAUAGCCGGACACUAAUUGGCCUAUUGCCCUCUCGCACACACGUUAUAACAAGUCUAAAAAAAACAAAUAUAUCCCUAUACGACUUACACGGCCAAACAAUAAAAUAAAAGGAAACUUUAACCUAAUUUAGACUCUACCAUCGGGAUGAUUAUGGACUCUAAUUGGAUUGGUGCGCCAUGCAUCUUCUAGUGCAUCUCGAUCUUCAGGUGGACCCCAACCGACUUCUUUCAAGGAAAAUAAACUCCAUGCAUCACACGUCCUGCUCGCUUCUGCCUGGAACUUCUCUUUGCGUGGGAAGAAUAGAAAUAGGAAAUCUGCAACCUUCUCCUUAAUGCCUUGAUCAUCUAUUAAUGAACAUGAACCUUCGUGUGUAUCAUGCAAACCAAGCCCUCCAAAAUAUUUGUACGUGCAUGCAUUUUUGCCUGGAAACACGUAGAAUUUCUUGUCCUCUCUCAGCCCUUCUAGCUGGAACCAUGUAGUGUGCUUCACAGGAAUAACGAGUAAUUCUUGUUCAUCGUUGUAACUUGUCAUCAGGUAUUCCGAUGUAUAUGUAGCGUAUUUUUGGACAACACCGACUUCAGGCAAAACAACAAUGACCUCGGUAUUUAUAUCACAAGGGGUCAUAUCAUCGUCUCCCCCUUGAAUCGAAACCGUCCCCGGUUUCAAGUCAAUCUCUUUUCCAAUAUUUUGAUCUGCAGAUUGAUCGGCAGCGGUAAAAAUUUCAGCAACUUCGGCCUUCUUCUUAUCUUCUUCUUCAUGCUCUUUUAUCUUCUCAAGAUGUUCUUUUCUCCAAGGAAGAAAACGCUCCUCACACAUUGGCACGAGGUUGUACUUCUUACCUCUCUUGACGGUAUAUGUGUGUGUUUUGCAAUCAUACGCCACAUCAUGCUCUUUGUACCAUGGCUCGCCCAAUAACAAAUGACACAAAAUCAUCGGUGCCGGAAUCACGUCGCAGAAAAUCUCGCAAAAAUAAUUUCCCAACAAAAACGGUACCUUGGUUUGGUGUGUGACAGUGAUUACUUCACAACCCCAACGGAACAAGUAUGGUUGUGCUCGGGGUGUCAUCGUGAGAUCUAGCUUCUCCACCAUCUCGAUGCUUGCAGCGUUGAUCAAACUCAUGUGGUCAAUUGUCAUGGCACAUGAUUUCUCCUGUACCACAACACGAGUAUGAAAAAGACCAUCCCAUCGACCUUCCUCCUCCAGUUGAAAUCCAUAGCUUAGCUUCCAUGAUAAUCCAGUCAUCUCCUCCUCAGUGUCGUGAACAACCUUAGCUCUGAAUACCACCUGAUAAAGACCGAACCUCGAUGACGAGAUCUGAUCUGUUGUUGCGGCUCGACCUUUCACGACACUCCACCUUCAGCACUAGUAGCCUCUCGCCCGCGCACGCGAUGUACACGAAGUAGAGGGUUUGAACCUUGCGGCCCAGCACGAGAAAACCAAUCUUGACGAAGGUACUCACGCGCAAAACAAUUUCCACGAAGAGAAAUCGCAACACAGAGGUUUUCUAAAGGUCCCUCCAAAACUUGAUACGGGUGUCUACCCUGAAAAACACAUCGUGUCUAUUUCAUAAAAAUAUAACCUGCCCGUACAAUGAACGCCCCAUAGCUAUAUAUAAUAGCCGGACACUAAUUGGCCUAUUGCCCUCUCGCACACACGUUAUAACAAGUCUAAAAAAACAAAUAUAUCCCUAUAUGACUUACACGGCCAAACAAUAAAAUAAAAGGAAACUUUAACCUAAUUUGGACUCUACCAUCG